AAAUAUUGAAGAACAUACCGCAAGAAAUGAAGAACAGUAGAAACGAAAAACGAAGUCAACACCCAAAUGUCGAGACACGUACGAUUCUUCAAACGUUCGCAGGAGGAGCUAUCGGAUACUGAUUGAAACCGAAAAAUGGAAGUGUAUUCGUGUUCGCUGUUAUGGUUUUCGCUGAUAGGGUUUCAACGUUCGCAGGAGGGAAAACAAAAGAACAGAGAACGAAAACUGAAACGGAGUCUGAAAUUUUAUUUUAAUUAGACCUUAGACAGCGCUUUUG
rnacentral:lncRNA from 1 species